UAUGACGGCGUUAACAAUAUUUCUAAUAAACAUCACGUGCAACAGGCGUGACUCACACAAGCCGGGUGCGCCGGCCGUGUCGUUCCACUCGUGCAACAGAAGUGACUCAUAAGCCAGCUGCGCCGGCUAGUAUAAAAAGGCGGUGCGUGCCUUGCGAGAAACAUUCGUUGGACUGCGCUUGCCUGGUGCACUUACUAUGUUCUUGUUACGUUGUGUGAUUCAGUGACUGUUGUACGUACUGGUUAAAGUUGGACAAGUGUUAAAGUGAAUUGUUACGAUAACAUAUUGUUGAUUAAAUCAGGAAUCAAAAAGUGACAUCGUUUUACUUGGUGUUCAACAAGAUAAUGUCUACCCUCAAGCUUACAUCAGAAGUGAGAUCAGGACUCUACUCUCACUGGCGUGACGUGUUUGAACAUGUUCGAAGUACAGCAAAAAAAAACAUUAUGCAGAUCAGAAUACUAGUAGUGGUACGCCACAAGAACGUGAAUGCAGCAUACGUAAGUCGUGUAAUAACGUCUCUGUUACCUCGAUGGAAGAUCUGAGCCACGAAGAAAUCGUCACAUCUUACGUUCUGGCUCAUGUUGCCCAGUUUGACUGUCGACGUCAUCACAUGGCGUUUACUAACGGAAAUACAACACGUAACAAGCUAUUGCAAGAAAUUAAGGCAAGUGCAAAUCUCAAGUGAAACUUCGAUCGCAAUAAUGGAUCUGUCAUGACGAGUGGGUAGUUCCGACACGAAUCGUUUUUAAGCCAAUGACUACUGCUAGAGUUAUAUGGCACUAGUACAGUAAACCAGGACAUGAGACUGUGAAUUGUCGCUGAAAUUUUAGAAUCUACUCGAUUCAAUACCAAUAACACUACACGUUCGAUGACUUCGGGCUCCAGCAAGCAAGCAAACAAGAAAGCAAGCAAGUUUCCGUGGGGAAGAAAAAUUGACACAUCUGAAGUCGUCGUGACCUGUAAGAUAAGACGUCCGCUGCGUUCGUGUCUGGCGAUGCGGCGGUGUUCGGGUUCCGCUGGCGGAUGCAGGUUUUUCCGGUGAAGUGCGUGCUUGACAAGUGUUCGCGGUUGGCUUCCUCAGUGUGGGAGUAACAUCGUGUAGCCGGAGGUGAGACUUCCGCGGUCGCGGCCCACCCAGUCCGCGAGAACCGGGCAGAUCGCCUCGACGGUACGGAGGCCGGCCGACGGGUCCGCCAAACGACGAGAUCACGCCUCCAGCACGGACUGCCGAUAUUGGAGCCCCCGCGCUCCGGCUGCACUUGCGCUAGGGUGCGCCGCCUCGUAGGAGACUGUGCUGUGGCAGGUCCAACCAGAGACGUCAACGUGUGUUCCAGAGCUUCAGUGUGUUACAGAUAAGUGGUUUUGGCUUCCCCUUUAUGUUCCAUUCAAGGUCAGAAUGUAGUCUCAAAAAAAAAAAAAAAACAUAGUAAUUUAUUCAAUGGUAAGCGGUUUCAUGAACAAGUCACUCUUUGAUCUGAAAGUAACUCGGACCAAUCAUGGCAAGAGCAGUUAGGGGAUAUUCAACUCGCCCUUAAUAGUACACGUUGUCGAGUAACAGGGUUUACUCCAAUAGAAUAGAUGUUUACCGUUCAGGGUAGUUCACUUGAAAUAUCUAAGUUUCAACAGAGUGAUAAUCCCUCUAGAUUAGAUCUUGAUUUAGCACGGUCGAAGGCCUGCGAAAACAAAAACAAAAAAAAAAACAAAAAUGGGCACAAACAGAAGCUUGGUUUAGUCGAGGCAAAGCUAAAGUCAAACUCUUUUCCGCUGGGGGUUUUGUUUUCGUAAAUUAGACCGAAAAUAUAAAGGUCCCUUCAACAUUACAGCACCCCGAAUCCUGAUCACGCAGGAGCAAGUCACCGUCGUCGCCUUAGACACGUCCUUACGGAUCCACCAGAUCCAAUAACUCUUGCAUUAGAUACCUUCAGCUCUAACACUAGGAGCAGGCUGAGGAACCCCGGUAACCGUACUCAUCGAACUCUACAAAGAGGUCGACGUGCAACCUAACCCAUGCAUCAGCCCACUGAGUUUCUCGCCGGAUCUUCUCAGUGGGUCACGAUUCCGAUCCGGUAGUAGAUUCAUUCGCGAAGCAAUUGCUCUUGAGUUGUUAGGUCUCCUUCGGAGGCACUCGGGCAGUUGUUAGCAAAUCCCACCCCUCUUGGCUGAGCCUUUGCUCGCCCACCCGUCCCGGUGAAGCGGGAAAGGCCUCCGGACCACCAGUAAUCUUUCAAUCAUCUGCAGUUUUGGAAAACGAUAGGUAUAAGUUGAGACAUGUAAAUGGUUCUAGUGUACAAAGUUUCCCAUGAAAACUUACGCGAAGUACCUCGAGGCCCGUCAGGCCUACUAGAAAUUUCUGAAAAUUAUAGUGACGAUGACGUGACGGCGUACACAGAUGGGUUAAGUAAUCUUGUUCAUGAAACUGAUCUUAAUGAUGACGACUCUAUCACUGACAAUAGAAGCGACAUUUUUGUCCGCAAAUAGCGAUACAGCAAACAUAGUCUGCGGGUAGUGAUACAAUGUCUGUAAGCUCAGGCACCUUUUUUUUUUUUUUUUUUUUUUUUUUUAUUGCUUAGCUGUGUGGACGAGCUCACAGCCCACCUGAUGUUAAGUGGUUACUGGAGCCCAUAGACAUCUACAACGUAAAUGCGCCACACACCUUGAGAUAUAUAGUUCUAAGGUCUCAGUAUAGUCACAACGGCUGCCCCACCCUUCAAACCGAAACGCAUUACUGCUUCACGGCAGAAAUAGGCGGGGCGGUGGUACCUACCCGUGCGGACUCACAAGAGGUCCUACCACCAGUAAUUACGCAAAUUAUAAUUUUGCGGGUUUCAUUUUUAUUACACGAUGUUAUUCCUUCACCGUGGAAGUCAAUCGUGAACAUUUGUUGAGUACGUAUUUCAUUAGAAAAAUUGGUACCCGCCUGCGGGAUUCGAACACCGGUGCAUCGCUUCAACACGAAUGCACCGGACGUCUUAUCCGUUAGGCCACGACGACUUCAAAACGACGACCUCAGGUGCAGGUGUUGGAAAUGUAGAAAACGAUGGUCGGGCUCGCACUAUUUCUGAAGAAAUUCCGUAUAAAUGUUCUGGUUUAAGAGAUGUUUUAACAAACGCUACCGUGCACGCAGAUUAAAAAAAAAAAAAAGAGAAAAAAAAAAAAAAAGAAAUUGUAAGUCAUUGAAGGGUGUAUCCGGUCCAAUGACUUGGCUAAAGGGAUGUUAAUCCGGACUAGCAAAAAAAAAAAAAAAAAAAGAGAAAAAAAAAUGUAGGUCGUUGAAGGGUGUAUCCGGUCCAACGACUUGGCUAAAGGGAUGUUGAUCCGGACUAGCAAAGAAUAAAAAAAAAAAAAGAGAAAAAAAAAAAAAAGAAAAAAAAAGUGUGAAGUCAUUGAAGGGUCUGUCCGGUCCAAUGGCUUGGCUAUAGGGAUUUUCAUCCGGACUAGCCACAACAAUUUGCUACAGGGAUUGCGAUCCGGUCUAGCAUUAUCCGGUCCAGUUCGAAAAACUGAAGGGAUAACAAUUCCGAUUUAAGUUAAAAGGGACAUACUUACAUACCUGAAGAGAUUUAAAUGAACUGGCCCAGGUAUGUAAGCAGUCAGUAUUUAUAGCCAGUAUAGGAUUUUCUGAAGAAUUAUGCGAACCGAACCGUAUUAGAUUGUUAAUAUCAUAGACCACGUUUUAAGUUGCAUCCGUUAAUGUCAGGAUGAACGAAUACGCUUAUUGUCUACAGAACAACCAUAAAAAGGCGCACGAGGACGAGCGCAUGUCAGUAUGGCCGUGACGGCGUUAACAAUAUUUCUAAUAAACAUCACGUGCAACAGGCGUGACUCACACAAGCCGGGUGCGCCGGCCGUGUCGUUCCACUCGUGCAACAGAAGUGACUCAUAAGCCAGCUGCGCCGGCUAGUAUAAAAAGGCGGUGCGUGCCUUGCGAGAAACAUUCGUUGGACUGCGCUUGCCUGGUGCACUUACUAUGUUCUUGUUACGUUGUGUGAUUCAGUGACUGUUGUACGUACUGGUUAAAGUUGGACAAGUGUUAAAGUGAAUUGUUACGAUAACAUAUUGUUGAUUAAAUCAGGAAUCAAAAAG